ensembl:misc_RNA Y_RNA Y RNA
GGCUGGUCCAAGUAUAAUGGUGUUUACUAUUAAUUGAUCACAGCCAGUUACAGGUUUUUUUGUUCUUUUCCACUCUGACUGCUUCACUUGAUUAGCCUUAA